GCUGAAAGCGCUGCUUCAUGAACAACACCUAGCAGGUGCCCGCUUCGAGCAUCCUAAAGAGGGAAGACGUCUAAAAUAUCUGUUCCCGUUUGAGGAUAAUUGACAGGAUGUGGAAAGGAGAGAACUGCUCUGAAGCUGCUGAAAGCUGCAGAGCUGCCUCCAGUUCAAGGGGAGUGAAGCCCUUUCCUGAAGAGGAGCUGCUGCUGCUGUUUCAGACAGGGAUGGGUGCUGGGCCUGUGUGUGUCUCACUGCACAGCCACUGUCUGCUCUGGGCUUUGCUCUGCAGGAUCCUCUGUCCUGCUGAAGCACCAGGCAGCUUGGACCCACAGUGCCACUGCAGUCCCUGGCUCACAGCAGUGAGUCCUCACCAUCCCUCUAAAUCCACUGGCCCCCAGCACCAGCACAGUGCCCAAAGGAGCCUGCUCUCAGCCUUCAGCCCUGUUCAGCAUUUCCAACAUCUUCUAUUUGCAGUGAGCAAGAAAGCCUCAUGGAUCAAAAGGAGCUUUGCCAGGGAAAAUUUCUUUUACUGUUAUGAUAAAAGGAUGUCUUGUCUCCAUGAAGAGAUUACUUAUACAGGUCAGCUUUUGCAGGCAGGAGGAAAGUCCCUGGCUCGAGGAGAUUACAAGUAGGAUAAUGCAGCAGUGAAGCCAGAUAGCUGGCAAUGGAUGACAGUGACAUUCAAAGAAAACAGAUGCCACAAAGCCUGGAUCAUCAGAGGGUAUGUACAUCUGAGAUCAACAUUUGCAAAGUGCUGCUGGAAAAGAAGAGCCAGCAGAUUUGCAUCAGCAGCAUCAAUUCUCAUCUAUUCUUUCCUGUCUGACCGUCUGAUAAGAUAGAAUCACUCACUCACUGGUAUUUGUCCCCUUCCAGGGUUGUUCCUCCUGGAGCUGGCCGUGGCUCAGCUCCCACACACAAAGGUUGGCAGCACAGCUGCUCCAGGCACCUUCUGUACCCAGAGGAGGGACAAGUUCAAAUGCCCUGAGGACAAGUUCCACUUACAGCCUCCAAGCCUGUUUGGCUCAAGCCUCAUGCCAACUCCAGGAAAGAGCCAGGAAGCAGGCUGGAAUACUCCUGAGACAGGCAUGUGACACUGCACUCAGCUGAUCAGAGCUGGGGGUGUCCCUCCCCUCCAUCGCAGACCUCUCCAUUCUGCUCAGGUGUCUGCAGCUGGCACACACAGCACAAGAUGCUGCUGCUGCUGCUUCCCUCGCUCCAGCAGCCACCCACAGCAAUGCUCCCCUGGUGCAUCCCCCACCACCCAGCCUGAGUUCUGCAUUUCCUAUGGUGGAAGUCAGCCCUGUAAAGUGAUGUUGCUUAUGGCCACAAAUUGGAACAAACAAUUCCAUGAACUCCUGUGCGCGGAGAAGCAGGACAAUGAGACAGCGACUUGAGGGUGCAGGGUUUAAAACAGAAAAUCGUGUCACAAUCCUCAUGGAGAAAGAGCCUCUUCUCCCAUAGCACUGAUCAAAUCAGCUGCCUCUGAGGAGCCACCUCAAAAGGAGAGGGGCCAGCAACAAGCAGCCAGGGGUUCAAACGCUGCCUGUUGGGUUUCUGCUGUCCCAGAGCAGUUCUGCCAGUAGGGCACAGAGCUGGUUCCAGUGGAGGCGUUCACUGGGCAUUACAGCAUGAUGCCAGGAUGAUGCCCUGCAUGGCAGGAAUUAAUACAAGGUUUUCCUUAAUGACUGUAUCCAGGGCAACUUAAGCUUCUCUAAGAUAAAUUUCCCCCUGUCCCUUCCAGUCUCUAAUAAAAUAUUUCUCUGGUUUGCA
ensembl:lncRNA